AAUGGAAAAUCUGCUGCAGAAAACGCUCUCGGCCGGAAAUCGCCUUGAUUUUUGGUCCGGCCAUAUCUUCCUCCUCCGGCCACCGAUCCUCACCAAACUUCUUCCAUUGGCUUCGUAUGGUCCUUGCGCACCUGUCUGUGGCAGCCUUUCAUGGCGGCGCGGCCUGUAGCGGCGGCGGAAAGCUUGUUUCGAUUUAAGCCCGAUUUUGAGUCAACGCCGAUAUCUUGAGUUUCCGGCCACCUUUCUUUGUGAUUCUUGGCUUGAUGAACUCGCCUUGAGAUUCUGAACCAGUCUCCAGAAGGAAUCGAAGCGAGUGGUGGACGUUUUCACGCUGAUCGGAGCUCUCGCCGGAUUCUGGAAAAAUUCCGGCCACCGUGACUGAGUUUGGUGAUCGAUGGAUUUAUUUGGCGGACGAUUCGUGAGAUUGUUAAUUGAGCUGUUAAGAAGACGCAGCUGGAUCAGAGCGGAUAAUCCUACAGGACUGGAGAAUUCAGGAAGGUGAUCGAACCGUGUAGAGUAGCUGCUUUGUAAUACUCUGAUUUUCAGUUGUGAGGUUUGUUAUGCUCAUUAGAGCUUUACAAUUUACUUUGUACGAGUGAGUUGUAAUAAUUAACUCGAGGUCUUCGAGUUUUGAAUUUGAGCGUGAGUGGCGAGGUUGUU